GAUGAACGCUGGCGGCGUGCCUAAUACAUGCAAGUCGAGCAAACAGAUGAGGAGCUUGCUCCUCUGACGUUAGCGGCGGACGGGUGAGUAACACGUGGAUAACCUACCUAUAAGACUGGGAUAACUUCGGGAAACCGGAGCUAAUACCGGAUAAUAUAUUGAACCGCAUGGUUCAAUAGUGAAAGACGGUUUUGCUGUCACUUAUAGAUGGAUCCGCGCCGCAUUAGCUAGUUGGUAAGGUAACGGCUUACCAAGGCAACGAUGCGUAGCCGACCUGAGAGGGUGAUCGGCCACACUGGAACUGAGACACGGUCCAGACUCCUACGGGAGGCAGCAGUAGGGAAUCUUCCGCAAAGGGCGAAAGCCUGACGGAGCAACGCCGCGUGAGUGAUGAAGGUCUUCGGAUCGUAAAACUCUGUUAUUAGGGAAGAACAAAUGUGUAAGUAACUAUGCACGUCUUGACGGUACCUAAUCAGAAAGCCACGGCUAACUACGUG
rnacentral:rRNA from 1 species